UGUAUCCUCCCCUGCUCUUCGUGGCUCCCCAGUGCUGUCCUUUCCUAGACCCACGCCCUCCCUUGGCCAAGACAUUCCUGGCUCAGGCUCCGUCCCACCCCUUCCUUCUCCCUCCCUUCUUGCACACUGGCCUCCCUGUGGCCACAGCCACGCCUGGUCUCCAAGUCCCCAGCAGGGUGCCGGGCACGGGGCAGCCCUCAGCCCAACGGUGCGAGUCAAGAAAAAGCCGGCCCACUCCUUGGAAAACUGAAGCAAGAAGAUCAAAGUUCAAACCCAGCCUGGACAACGUAGAGACUUGAAGGGUCUCCAGAGCGGCCACCCCACACAUGAUGGACAGAAUGGAGUGAGUGACAGGCGCCUCUUUCCACGCCGGAGA